GUAGAAGGAGGUGUAUGCGGAAAGUUUAAUCUAAGUAACUGUUGUCUGCACAUAGAUGAUGAAGGGCAGGCAGUGGCUGAACUUACAAGCCACAUGGUUAAAUUUGUGCAUGUACCUACUCAGGUCUGGAAUGGGUAUAACCUAAGUAGUUGGUUUGGAAGUUGGUAUGAGCAGCUUGGAGGAAUUAAGACAUUAGUAGGAGGAGUAGAAUUUAUUAUUUUUUUUGUGCCUCCUCCUGCCCUGUCUAAUUCCACUAGUGGUAAGGUCCCUAAGUAGUAUUAUAGAGAGUACUAUAGAGAGAAAGACAGCGGCUCAUGUAAUGGCUGUCUGGAAGAUAUGAUCCCCUAGCCCGAAGAGAAUAUAUUCAGGAUGAAGAAUGUUGAAGGAGUUUUUAAGAUGCUUACAAGGUCUACUCUGGUUCAAUGGCU